UACGUAGGGUGCGAGCGUUAAUCGGAAUUACUGGGCGUAAAGCGUGCGCAGGCGGUCCGCAAAGUCUGAUGUGAAAGCCCGGGGCUCACCCCCGGAAGGGCAUUGGAAACUGGCGGACUCGAGUCUCGGAGAGGAAGGUGGAAUUCCUGGUGUAGCGGUGAAAUGCGUAGAUAUCAGGAGGAAUACCGGUGGCGAAGGCGGCCUUCUGGACGAUGACUGACGCUGAGACGCGAAAGCGUGGGGAGCAAACAGG
rnacentral:rRNA from 1 species